GACGAACGCUGGCGGCGUGCUUAACACAUGCAAGUCGAACGGAAAGGCCCUGCUUUUGUGGUGUGCUCGAGUGGCGAACGGGUGUGUAACAUGUGAGUAAUCUGCCCUUGACUUUGGGAUAACUUGAGGAAACUGGGUCUAAUAGGGGAUGGGAGCUCCUGCUUCAUGGUGGGGGUUGGAAAGUUUCGGCGGUUGGGGAUGGACUCGCGGCUUAUCAGCUUGUUGGUGGGGUAGUGGCUUACCAAGGCUUUGACGGGUAGCCGGCCUGAGAGGGUGACCGGCCACAUUGGGACUGAGAUACGGCCCAGACUCCUACGGGAGGCAGCAGUGGGGAAUAUUGCACAAUGGGCGGAAGCCUGAUGCAGCAACGCCGCGUGCGGGAUGACGGCCUUCGGGUUGUAAACCGCUUUCGCCUGUGACGAAGCGUGAGUGACGGUAAUGGGUAAAGAAGCACCGGCUAACUACGUG
rnacentral:rRNA from 1 species